AUGGGAACGCGAAGAACCUUACCUACUCUUGACAUCCAGAGAACUUAGCAGAGAUGCUUUGGUGCCUUCGGGAACUCUGAGACAGGUGCUGCAUGGCUGUCGUCAGCUCGUGUUGUGAAAUGUUGGGUUAAGUCCCGCAACGAGCGCAACCCUUAUCCUUUGUUGCCAGCGGUCCGGCCGGGAACUCAAGGAGACUGCCAGUGAUAAACUGGAGGAAGGUGGGGAUGACGUCAAGUCAUCAUGGCCCUUACGAGUAGGGCUACGACACGUGCUACAAUGGCGCAUACAAAGAGAAGCGACCUCGCGAGAGCAAGCGGACCUCAUAAAGUGCGUCGUAGUCCGGAUUGGAGUCUGCAACUCGACUCCAUGAAGUCGGAAUCGCUAGUAAUCGUAGAUC
rnacentral:rRNA from 1 species